rnacentral:tRNA from 1 species
GUGGCUGUAGCUCAAUGGCAGAGCACCUGUCUGUGGAACAGGAUGUUGCGGGUUCAACCCCCGUCAGCCACC